UACGUAGGGGGCGAGCGUUGUCCGGAAUCAUUGGGCGUAAAGCGCGCGUAGGCGGUGAGGGAAGUCGGCCGUGAAAGCGCCGGGCUCAACUCGGCGAGGUCGGGCGAGACUCCCUGGCUAGAGGACGGUAGAGGGCGGUGGAAUUCCGGGUGUAGUGGUGGAAUGCGUAGAGCUCCGGAGGAACACCAGUGGCGAAGGCGGCCGCCUGGGCCGGCCCUGACGCUGAGGCGCGAAAGCGUGGGGAGCGAUCCGG
rnacentral:rRNA from 1 species